rnacentral:rRNA from 1 species
GACGAACGCUGGCGGCGUGCUUAACACAUGCAAGUCGAACGGAAAGGCCCUGCUUUUGUGGGGUGCUCGAGUGGCGAACGGGUGAGUAACACGUGAGUAACCUGCCCUUGACUUUGGGAUAACUUCAGGAAACUGGGGCUAAUACCGGAUAGGAGCUCCUGCUGCAUGGUGGGGGUUGGAAAGUUUCGGCGGUUGGGGAUGGACUCGCGGCUUAUCAGCUUGUUGGUGGGGUAGUGGCUUACCAAGGCUUUGACGGGUAGCCGGCCUGAGAGGGUGACCGGCCAAAUGGGGACGGAGAUACGGCCCAAACCCCUACGGGGGGCAGCGGUGGGGAAUAUUGCACAAUGGGCGGAAGCCGGAUGCAGCAACGCCGCGGGGGGGAUGACGGCCUUCGGGUGGUAAACCGCUUUCGCCGGUGCCGAAGGGGGGGUGACGGUAAUGGGUAAAGAAGCCCCGGCUAACUACGU